GGACCCACACAAGCAGUGGAUCACGUGGUUUAAUUCGACAAUAAACGGGGAACCUUACCCAGACUUGACAUCUAUAGAAUCUUUUGGAAACAAGAGAGUGCCCGUAAGGGAGCUAUAAGACAGGUGCUGCAUGGUUGUCGUCAGCUCGUGCCUUGAGGUGUUCGGUUAAGUCCGUUAACGAGCGCAACCCAUGUCGUUAGUUGUAUUUUCUAACGAGACUGCCUAGGUUAACUAGGAGGAAGGUGUGGAUGACGUCAAAUCAGCAUGGCUUUUACGUCUGGGGCUACACACAUGAUACAAUGGUAUGCACAAAGAGUAGCAAUACAGUAAUGUUGAGCAAAUCUUAAAAACAUAUCUCAGUCCGGAUUGAGGGCUGCAACUCGCCCUCAUGAAGUUGGAAUUGCUAGUAAUCGUAAAUCAGACAUGUUACGGUGAAUAUGUUCCUGGGUCUU
rnacentral:rRNA from 1 species